GACGUAGGGCGCGAGCGUUGUCCGGAUUUAUUGGGCGUAAAGAGCUCGUAGGCGGCUCGUUGCGUCAACCGUGAAAACCCGCGGCUCAACUGUGGGCUUGCAGCUGAUACGGGCGGGCUGGAGUUCGGUAGGGGAGACUGGAAUUCCUGGUGUAGCGGUGAAAUGCGCAGAUAUCAGGAGGAACACCGGUGGCGAAGGCGGGUCUCUGGGCCGAUACUGACGCUGAGGAGCGAAAGCGUGGGGAGCGAACAGG
rnacentral:rRNA from 1 species